UACGGGGGGGGCUAGCGUUGUUCGGAAUUACUGGGCGUAAAGCGCACGUAGGCGGCUUUGUAAGUCAGAGGUGAAAUCCCGGGGCUCAACCCCGGAACUGCCUUUGAGACUGCAAGGCUCGAAUCCAGGAGAGGUGAGUGGAAUUCCGAGUGUAGAGGUGAAAUUCGUAGAUAUUCGGAAGAACACCAGUGGCGAAGGCGGCUCACUGGACUGGUAUUGACGCUGAGGUGCGAAAGCGUGGGGAGCAAACAGG
rnacentral:rRNA from 1 species